GUGCUUAACACAUGCAAGUCGAACGGAAAGGCCCUUUCGGGGGUACUCGAGUGGCGAACGGGUGAGUAACACGUGGGUGAUCUGCCCUGCACUUUGGGAUAAGCCUGGGAAACUGGGUCUAAUACCGAAUACACCCUGCUGGUCGCAUGGCCUGGUAGGGGAAAGCUUUUGCGGUGUGGGAUGGGCCCGCGGCCUAUCAGCUUGUUGGUGGGGUGAUGGCCUACCAAGGCGACGACGGGUAGCCGGCCUGAGAGGGUGACCGGCCACACUGGGACUGAGAUACGGCCCAGACUCCUACGGGAGGCAGCAGUGGGGAAUAUUGCACAAUGGGCGCAAGCCUGAUGCAGCGACGCCGCGUGAGGGAUGACGGCCUUCGGGUUGUAAACCUCUUUCAGCACAGACGAAGCGCAAGUGACGGUAUGUGCAGAAGAAGGACCGGCCAACUACGUGCCAGCAGCCGCGGUAAUACGUAGGGUCCGAGCGUUGUCCGGAAUUACUGGGCGUAAAGAGCUCGUAGGUGGUUUGUCGCGUUGUUCGUGAAAUC
rnacentral:rRNA from 1 species